rnacentral:RNase_P_RNA from 1 species
GAAGCGGGCCGGACGGCCGCGCCCCUCUCCGGGGGUGAGGAAAGUCCGGGCUCCAUAGGGCAAGAUGCCGGCUAACGGCCGGGCGGAGCGAUCCGACGGAAAGUGCCGCAGAAAAGAAGACUCCCACUGGCCCGCAAGGGUUAAGGGAAAAGCUGAAACGGUGGUGUAAGAGACCACCAGCACCCCGGCAACGGGGUGGCUUGGUAAACCCCAUCCGGAGCAAGCGCAAAUAGGAACGCCAUGGGUUGGCCCGACCCGCGUUCGGGUUGCGCGCGAGAGAAGGACCGCGGCGACGCGGCCUCGAGAUAAAUGGUCGUCUAUUACAGAACCCGGCUUACAGGCCCGCUUCGCAC